UACGUAGGGGGCGAGCGUUGUCCGGAUUUAUUGGGCGUAAAGAGCUCGUAGGCGGCUUGGCAAGUCGGGUAUGAAACCUCCAGCUCAACCUGGAGACGCCACUCGAUACUGCCAUGGCUAGAGUCCGGUAGGGGACCACGGAAUUCCUGGUGUAGCGGUGAAAUGCGCAGAUAUCAGGAGGAACACCGGUGGCGAAGGCGGUGGUCUGGGCCGGCACUGACGCUGAGGAGCGAAAGUGUGGGAGCGAACAGG
rnacentral:rRNA from 1 species